AAAGCUUGCUUUUCUGAAUCUAGUGGCGGACGGGUGAGUAACGCGUGAGGAACCUGCCUUGGAGUGGGGAAUAACACAACGAAAGCUGUGCUAAUACCGCAUGAUGCAGUUGGGUCGCAUGGCCCUGACUGCCAAAGAUUUAUCGCUCUGAGAUGGCCUCGCGUCUGAUUAGCUAGUUGGCGGGGUAACGGCCCACCUAGUCUUCGAUGGAUAGGGGUUCUGAGAGGAAGGUCCCCACAUUGGAACUGAGACACGGUCCAAACUCC
rnacentral:rRNA from 1 species